UACGGGGGGGGCAAGCGUUGUUCGGAAUUACUGGGCGUAAAGGGUUUGUAGGUGGCCAACUAAGUCAGACGUGAAAUCCCUCAGCUUAACUGGGGAACUGCGUCUGAUACUGGUUGGCUUGAGUGCAGGAGAGGAAUGCGGAAUUCCAGGUGUAGCGGUGAAAUGCGUAGAUAUCUGGAGGAACACCGGUGGCGAAGGCGGCAUUCUGGACUGCAACUGACACUGAAAAACGAAAGCCAGGGUAGCAAACGGG
rnacentral:rRNA from 1 species